ensembl:lncRNA
AUGGUGUUGGGUGUGAACAUGACCAUGUCAAAGCGUUCAGAAGAGACCACGAGACAAACGUGCCCCAACAUGCAGCUCAUGGAAAAUAAACCAAAGACUAAAAGAAAAGGUGAGAGGAGGGAUCUGUGCUGUGCUUGGGAAUGUUCUGAUACGGAUGGCGGAACCAGCGAUGAUAAUGACUUUCAUCAAUACCAGGAGGCUAAACAGAAGGUUAGGCACAGGUGCAGUUACUUGGACGAAAGGAACAUCAUUUUGUCCCCUCAUUUAUUUGCUCAGCCCAGGUCAUGCGUAUCUGGAGCAAAUGAUGCAUUGGAUGAAGCAAACUCAAGAUGGAAAGCUUCUCAAAUCAGUAGCGUCUCCACUAAAUCUGCCAGCCCAGACAUAAACAUUACCACUGAGAGACCAAGUGCACCAGACCCGAGCUGUGUACCCAUAAAUCCCAGCGUAUCUAGUGAUUCAAUGCCCCAGAGACAAAAUACUGUCAGCGAGAACUCACUGCAAGUACAUAUCGUAGAGGUGAACGGGAUUCUGCCAAUGAUUGAGUGGAUUCCAGAAUCAUCUCAUGAGCAAAUGAUGGAGGAAACCACAUCUUGGAGGUGUGCUGGACUUGUCUCAGCGAACAUUGAAACAAGGAGUCCUGAAGCUCUUUGGAAGAAGGCAUCUGGAAAGAAAAUCGAAUGGUGCCACAAGCGCCUGGAUAAGGCGUCCCACUUUGGGUCAUCAUCGCCCACUGCAGCCAGACCCAGAGUGGUGAUCCGGAGACUGGCGCGAGGAAGAGGUUACAGAGGGACAAGCAGGCAUAGGGAACAGAAGCUCAAACCACUGGUGAAUCACAAAGACCUGCACAAUAGCUACUAUAAUCUGUCAACACUACAUAAUCGCUAUGGAUGUCUCUGUAGCCCUUGCCAACCGCGGUUGAGACACAGUCCAGGGGGAGACCAGCAAGACGCCACAAAGAACCUUGACAGGAAACAGCAAGAGUUUUCAGAAGCAAUUGGGGACAUUUGGUGUCUGUCAGGAUGCCCGAAGAACGCCGAAUCCCCUCCGACUCCGCACCAUGUCACUUUCUCUCAUAUUUUACAGGUUCUCCAGACCAAACCAGCCAAUUUUCCAGAGGUCAGGGGCCAGAGAUGUCACAGGGCUCUUUAAACGUUGCUGAGAGCGUUCAAUAGAAGACAUUCUUCUUUUUAUAGUCUGUACACAUCAGUGAAGUGCUAGUCAAAGAAAACAACACAGGCUUCAGAAUAUAUUUUUUUAUUCAAACUUUAAAUUUCAUCGUCUCUACAGUGUAAAAGGUCAUGAAUUCAAAGCCCUAAAAGGACUCAAAGAGAUGGACUCAUGUCGAUUUGGUAGGAAAUCCAUCUAUAGUAUCCAAAUAAACCAUUCAGUAAUGAUUUUCA